UUAAUGUCCAAUUAAUUUGAUCUGUUUUUUGAAUUUUAAAUUAUCCUUAAAAAUUAAAAGGUUCAUUAAAGAAUUUAAUUUUUAAUUAUGUGUUAAUUUUUAAUCUAUUUUAUUUUACAUGUGAGAAAUUCAAAAAUAGUUGACUCCUAGACAUGUGCUAAGUCGUCCUAUUUUCAAACUUGGCCCCCACAAACGACGUCGUUUGGGAAAUUGCAAUUCCCUUAAUUUUUAAGCCGGGUCUGGUAUUGGUUGACAUGGACUAGGGUUUUAGUAUUGGCGGACGAUGAGGAUGAUCGUUGGCUUCCUACGCAAAGCCCUUGUGCUCCAGGUGAGGUUCACUCUCACAGCUUCUCCAACCCCACAAAGCUUGCAUUUUCUUCCCCACCACUUCUACCCAUUCUCAUCUUCCUCCACAUCCAUUUCCACUUCUGAAAGAUCAGAGUCAUUCACUGUGUCUUACCUCAUUGACUCAUGUGGCCUCUCUCAUAAAGAUGCUCUAUCAGCUUCCAAAUUACUCCGCUUUGAAACCCCCGAAAAACCCGAUUCGGUCCUUGCCUUCUUCAACAGCCAUGGCUUCUCCAAAUCCCAAACCUCAAAAAUCGUCAAAUCGCUACCUCGACUACUCGCAUCCGAUCCCGACAAAACCCUUUUGCCCAAACUCCAAUUCUUCUACUCCAAAGGCGCUUCCAAGCCUGAUGUUGCCAAGAUCGUAGUCUCAACCCCAGGCAUCUUGAAACGAAGCUUGGAAAAUCAAAUCAUUCCUUCUUUUAAUUUCUUGAAAGAUUUCCUUCAAUCCGACGAGAUGGCAAUUACUGUUGUUAAACGCUUUUCCCGGAUUCUGCUCUUUGAUCUUCACACCUAUGUGGCUUCUAAUAUGAAUGCGUUGCAAGAAUUUGGAGUACCCAAAUCAAAUAUUGCAGGAUUGCUAAUGUAUCGGCCUAUGGCAUUUAUGGUGAAUCCAAAUUUGUUUAGGAAGAAUUUGGAGGAAGUGAAGAAAAUGGGGUUUAAUCCGUCACAAAUGAAGUUUGUUUUGGCAAUCCAAGCAAUGAGAGCGGGGGGAGAAUCUUGCUGGGAAAGGAAGAUUGAUAUAUAUAAGAAGUGGGGCUGGUCUGAGGAAGAGAUUCGGUUGGCCUUUACAAAGUCUCCCUGGUGUAUGAUAUAUUCCGAGGAUAAAAUAAUGGCAAAAAUGGAUUUCUUCGUCAAUAAAAUGGGGAGGGAGUCUUCUUUGAUUGCUCACCGGCCCUUUCUUAUCGGGCUUAGCUUGGAGAAGAGAAUUAUUCCUCGGUAUUCAGUUGUUCAAGUUCUGUUGUCAAAGGGUUUGAUCAAUAAAGACAUUAGCCUGGUAGUUCUGUUUGAGUCUACUGAAAAGACCUUUCUGGAAAGGUUUGUGAAUGCUUACAAGGAGGAAGCUCCUCAGUUAAUAAAACUGUAUCAGGAGAAAAUCAAUCUUUGAGAAAAGCAGGACUUUCUGCUGGAGGGAAGUGGUAAUUUCUGAAUGUGCACAUUAUGAAUCCAAAUUUUUCUGCAUCUUCCCCUGUGCGGUUGAUUCUGCUGAAAAUUAUUUGGUUCUUCACUCUUAUACAUUUAGUACUUACUGCAACUAAUUCAGAUUCAUUUUAUAUGCAAUCUUACCAUCGUUUGGAAGUUCAAUCUUCAUCUGAUAUUGUUUUUUUGAUGGGCAAUAAUAUUUGAUCUGAUCUUAGUAGUCUACAUUUUUUUCAGUCCUUUCUUCAUAUGUGAACACCCCACUUUUCCCAAUUGUUUUCUCCAAGCAGCUCAUAGUUGUAAAAUGCCUUAAGAGGUUCUGCCCCAAACAAGAGCAUCCCUGGAGCAUAAAGAAAUGAAGCUCAAAUCAUGUAGCCGAGGAUUGUUUGUUCAACUCUGGGAAUCCUUCCACCAUCUCCCUCCAUGGCACCUGCCUUCAUAUUUGAAAUGUAAUUUUGUAUGGAAAGAAGCUUUUUUGAUGGAGCUAAUUUCCCUGUAUCACUGCCCAUUUGGGUGUUUACAAGAAACAGCAAUGGAGGUGAGCCUUGUUUUUGGCAGAAAA